CUUUGCACGUCAAGCAUGAUAUUUGGUACAGUCCUUCUACACAGGUCCAGUCUUAUUUAAAGACCAUUUCUCCUUCUAGCAGUUAUAACUGACCUUAAAUUGACUGAAUUGUGCAGUAAGCGAGAUCAAUACCAAAUAUAUGAGCAAGUUAUCAGACAGCUCAAGCUUUAGCGCUUUAAGUUUAGAAGCAAUGUGAGACAUCUCCAUGAUGUACUCCCUUAUAUUCCCCUUGCCUUUGUACUUCAUUGAAAUCAAGCUUUUGCAAAAGCGUGCUUGUUUCAGCCUAAUCGUUUUUUGCAAAACGCUUCUCAAUUUCGACGAGGAACUCCUUGGCAUUAGUUAACCCUUCGGAUACUGUACCUCUAAAGGCUUCUAAAGUGUCGCGCUUAAUGAUCAUUCGACUCAUGUGAUUUGAGCGGUCCCACUUCUCAAAGUUCAUCUUUUCAUCAGGUGAACUUUAUUCCGUAAGAGGAGUGAGUUCCUCAAUCCGGAGAGCAAGGUCUAGAUCCAUGCAGCCAAGAACAAUCAAUAUGUUCUCUUUUCAAUCAUUGAAGUUUGUCCCAUUAAGUAUAGGAAUUGAAUUAACAUUGACAGAUGUAGUAGUAGCAGAUGAAUUAACUGUAUAAAGAUAAAAAAAAAAAAAAAAACAAAUAAUCAUGCUCAUAUCAAUAUCCACAUUUAAUGAACAAUAAAUUCAAAUAAUGGUAAGCCUCAUCUCAAGAUACCUAGUGCAACAUUAAUAUCAAGUCUUCGGACAGUAAUAUUAAUUGCAAGUGGUACUCUCUCUGUAGUGAUCAAACAUUAACAAUAACUCCUGCCAAAUAACCCAACUUUGCAUUGAUUUAUUAUUUACAUGGAAACCUUAUAAUUGCUACACGUUCACCACCACGAGUAUGUAUAUAAUUUGGCCAAAUAUCAACCUUCCUUCGAGCCGGCUAAUACCCACAUGAACAAGCACACAUAUAACAUCUAAACAUCUUAAACAAAUCAAUCUACACAAGAGAGGUCACUUUGGUGACAAAUUGUUUCAAUUAGUUUAUUUAAAAUGCUAUAUAACCUUAAUUUUUCAUGAAUGAUUUACCAAAAUAUCUGAAUUUGAUUGUCCCACAUAAUUAAAUCUCAACUAUACCUCUUAAGAGAGUCCUUAGUACCAAAAUUUAAGAAAGUGAAUCACUAAUUUCGCAUCAUUAAAUGUCCUUUGAAACUUUUGGGAUCUAAGGGUUAAUAAUUCAAAACUUUAGGGGUCAAAAAAUGAAAAUUUUAAAACUUUGGGGACCAAUUUUAAUUGAUUAUAAACAUUGAGGGCAUUAAUUGUCAAAUUCAAAACUUUAAUGGCCCAAAUUAAAUAAUUUUCAAACUUCGGGGAGUGAAUUAUUAAACCCAGAACUUUAAAGGUCCAACUUGAAUAAAUUUCAAACUUUAGGGACUAAAAUGUAAAAUUAUAUUUUAAAUAUAACUAACCUUAAUCUUUAUUGCAAGUAAGGGCCUGAGAUUACCAAAAUUGCACCUUAGGCCCCGCCCCAAUAAAUCUAUCCAUAUUCGCUCUCUCUCUCUCUGGCGAUGCUAGCCGGUGGCAAGAGCACCGAGCGCUGCUGCAAUGCCGGUGGCUACAAUCGCCAUCGGCCAGUUGGGUUUUCAAAUUUUAUUUAUUUUUUUUUUAACCCAAAAAAUCUAUAGACCGAAUUUCCCAAAAAAAAAAAAUAAUAAUCAAAAUCUCCAAAGAUAACCAUGAACAACAUGCCAAAGAAUUUUCAAAUUCAACAAAAAACAGAUUCAAAAUUGUCAAUUCUUAAAAUUCUUAAAAUAUUGCAAGAAGUAAAUUCCAUAUAAUCAUAUGAUAGAAGAUCAAAUAACCCAACAUACAAAACUGUUAGAACCCUAAUUCUUGCAAUUUCUCAAAGAUUCAACAAUAGAGUGCUCUGAUACCACUUGUAGAAAUUGAAAAGGAACCAAAACUUUUGUCAAAUCCUUACACAAAAGUACAUAGAUCCUCCAUGUUGAAAUCAAAGAGAAGAUUAAAAGCGAAAGCGUACCUUAAUCAACAGAUAUGAGUGUUUUGAACGGGUCAUGAUUUUCUAAUUGUUACGUAAUUCCUUGAAAAUUCUUUUCUGUUGAUAGGGAUGCAGAGAGAUGAAAUAACGUACAAUUGGGGACCAUGACCCCAUGAUAAAUAAUUGCAUUAAGCAAUUAUUAUCUUUGUGUUAUUUCAAAUUUGUCUCUCAUCAAUUUAAAAUAACAUUUUUCGGUCUCUACACCUUAUUCUCAUUACAUUUAACACCCAUUAGUCCAAAAAAUGACUUUAACAAAUCACUUUAUUGAUUAACUUUAAAAUAGCACCACACAUUUUAAUAUAUAUACACGUGUGGUCCCAUACGUUGAAAUUUUUCCAACAGCCUGUCAAUAACCACUGUAUGUUUCUUUUCCAACACAAAUUGUGUUCCGUAUAUCAUCCGAAGGAGAAGUUAAGAAUUUUUCAGUGACUUGAAGUUGCAAGACCUAAUUAUGGCCCCGAUUUUUAGUUUGAUACACAGUCGCUUCCAUCUUAAUCCAUGGGAAGCUAUAAGAUCCAAACAUCAGAAAUGACUCGUGCUGCAGAAAUCUAGGUUAUUGGAAAUAAUUGAACAGAGUAUAUUUGUUUCUAAUUUUCACUACUUGAGACCUGUACCUGAGUUUCAAUUCCUUAGGCAUCCUCAUAAACCCACAAUGACUAAUGUGUUUUCUGGACUUCGUUCCCUCGAUCUAUAACCCUACAAUUGGAGUUGUCGUUCGAUCCAUUGAUGAUCAUUGUCCUGGAGCCAAAGGACCUCACCGGUAUCCUUGUACUUAAUGUCUGGAUAAUUUGGCUGAGGUUAACUCUUCCUAUUAUCCUCCCACCACUCAUAAGGGUGGCGAAGAAAACUUUCCAUAAAUGGAGUCUGUGUCGUUUAUUCUGUGCAUAAUCUGCUAAUUGAACAAAAAUGCAUAUAUCACAAACCCUUGUCCAUACAUCAAUUGCAAAAAGUUCAUUCUGAUUUCUGAACUACUAGACCAUAUCUAGAAAUACUCCUCUAACUUAGCAACUGUUUGCCCCUUCCAUUAAGUUAUUUAAAAAAAAAAAAAAAAGAACUGUAGCAUUCUAGUUCUAGCUCAAAUGGUGAUAGGUGGACAGAACCAAAGAAUAAAGAAGAAGAAAACAAAAGAAAUAUUGAAAUGAAAACAAAAACUCUAUGGUCAACUAUUCAUGAUUAUUUACUCCUAUAAGGCUAAUCUUUUAGGUAAGUAGAACUGGGUCCACGACGUCCAAUUUCCAGCAAGUCAUAUCUUCAAUUGAUCCACUUUUUCCCUUAAAAGCUCAAGAAAUAUUUAUAUUAAUUUACAGUUAUUAUGCAAUAUACAAGCGGCGCUUUACUUGCCGGACGUUACCACCAAAGCUAAAAAUAGAAGGAAGUUUUCUACCUCCUGAUUCCAAUUUCUUUGAUUACUUGCAAACUGUGGCUAGACAAUUUUGAGCAACAAAAUUCAUCUCCUCAACCUGUCCCUACAUAGAAAAUAUUUAAAUAUUAGAAUUUCGAUAUAUCAACAUAUCCUGCUGACAGAAAUUUAAAACAAGCAUCUCUAUAUGCAUAGCUGCGAAAUUUUUAUGAAUAAUAUGGGUGUAUAUUAUAAUAAAGAUUCUUGGGAAUUUAUAAAACAUAAUAACCAAUAUUAUGAUAAAAUUUCAUUUUUCUAUUACAUUUUUUUUAUAACUAAAUUUUAUCCAACUGCUUCGUUUCCUCAUAUAACUGAUACUAGCAACUUCACUUGAAUAGUAAUGACAAUGAUAUGUCUUUGUUUGUCAACCAUUCUAC
rnacentral:lncRNA from 1 species